rnacentral:rRNA from 1 species
AGUAACACGUGGGUAACCUACCUAUAAGACUGGGAUAACUUCGGGAAACCGGAGCUAAUACCGGAUAAUAUUUCGAACCGCAUGGUUCGAUAGUGAAAGAUGGUUUUGCUAUCACUUAUAGAUGGACCCGCGCCGUAUUAGCUAGUUGGUAAGGUAACGGCUUACCAAGGCGACGAUACGUAGCCGACCUGAGAGGGUGAUCGGCCACACUGGAACUGAGACACGGUCCAGACUCCUACGGGAGGCAGCAGUAGGGAAUCUUCCGCAAUGGGCGAAAGCCUGACGGAGCAACGCCGCGUGAGUGAUGAAGGUCUUCGGAUCGUAAAACUCUGUUAUUAGGGAAGAACAUACGUGUAAGUAACUGUGCACGUCUUGACGGUACCUAAUCAGAAAGCCACGGCUAACU